GAUCAUGGCUCAGGACGAACGCUGGCGGCACGCCUAACACAUGCAAGUCGAACGGUGUAUUGGAGCUUGCUCUGAUAACAUAGUGGCGGACGGGUGAGUAACACGUGAGCAACCUGCCUCUGAGAGAGGGAUAGCUUCUGGAAACGGAUGGUAAUACCUCAUAACAUAACGAAACCGCAUGAUUUUGUUAUCAAAGAUUUAUCACUCAGGGAUGGGCUCGCGUCUGAUUAGGUAGUUGGUGAGGUAACGGCUCACCAAGCCGACGAUCAGUAGCCGGACUGAGAGGUUGAACGGCCACAUUGGGACUGAGAUACGGCCCAGACUCCUACGGGAGGCAGCAGUGAGGGAUAUUGCACAAUGGAGGAAACUCUGAAUGCAGCGAUGCCGCGUGGAGGAAGAAGGUUUUCGGAUUGUAAACUCCUGUUUCGAGGGACGAUAAUGACGGUACCUCGGGAGGAAGCUCCGGCUAACUACGUGCCAGCCGCUGC
rnacentral:rRNA from 1 species